GCGUCGGAUUAGGUAGUUGGUAGGGUAAUGGCCUACCAAGCCGACGAUCCGUAGCUGGUCUGAGAGGAUGACCAGCCAGACUGGAACUGAGACACGGUCCAGACUCCUACGGGAGGCAGCAGUGAGGAAUCUUCCACAAUGGGCGAAAGCCUGAUGGAGCAACGCCGCGUGCAGGAUGAAGGCUUUCGGGUCGUAAACUGCUUUUAUUUGUGAAGAAUAUGACGGUAACAAAUGAAUAAGGGUCGGCUAACUACGUGCCAGCAGCCGCGGUCAUACGUAGGACCCAAGCGUUAUCCGGAGUGACUGGGCGUAAAGAGUUGCGUAGGUGGUUAUGUAAGUGAAUAGUGAAAUCUGGCGGCUCAACCGUACAGGCUAUUAUUCAAACUGCAUAACUCGAGAAUGGUAGAGGUUACUGGAAUUUCUAGUGUAGGAGUGAAAUCCGUAGAUAUUAGAAGGAACACCAAUGGCGUAGGCAGGUAACUGGACCAUUUCUGACACUGAGGCACGAAAGCGUG
rnacentral:rRNA from 1 species